GGAAAAUGUACCAUGUUACAGUUGUUGAAUAAAUGUUUACAUUCAUAUAUACUAAUUAGAUAUUUUAACAAAAGAGUUAUGGAGCCUACUGUGUUUUAAAGUUGAUUUGAAUUGAUUGAAAGACUAAGGCGAGGGCGAAUGCUUUUCGCUUAUCAUCAGUUUUGUUUGAUCUAGUACGGGUUGUUAAGACUAUCAGGCCAAUGUUCCGUAAAGACAAUGGACAUAAUGGCAUCUGGCUGGUUUCGAUUGAUAUUGACACUCGAGUUUAUUGAAUGAUAGGAGUAUAAAGCAGCUAAUAAAAUGACGAAAGAAAUUAUGGUAUUUACGAAAAUAGCCAAGCCACCCAUCAUGUUACUGCUUCUGUAUGAACUGACUCCUGUCAGCAACUUUUCCCUUUACA